GUUGAAACUUCGUUACUCGUACGAUCACUGUAGUUAAGCAACGUCGAUCCUGGUCAGUACUUAGAUGGGUGACCACUGGGGAAUAUCAGGUUCUGUAAG